rnacentral:misc_RNA from 1 species
CAGAGAUUGAAGGAUCAGUAAAACCAUCUGUCUUUGUUGUGGAAGGGACAUUCUCACGGAAAACAGAAGGGUCGAUCAAUGGAUCCUUGGUCGCUAUUAUAAUAGCACUCAGUGUCAGUGUAAUCAUCUUUAUUGGAUUGUGUUGUUUCUUGCGAAUAAAAUGCAAGCCCAUGAAGGAAAAUCCUGAGAGACACCAAGACAGGAGAGGAAUAACAGCUUAUUCAUUUACACCAGAAAUGGAUCUCGCGUCUGAAGCGGCCCAAGGUACUGUCGAAGAAAGAACUUCCGUUUUAUCAUCAGAAACACAUUUUGGUAUAGAAGAUACUUCGUUCACGGCAGAACAACGAGAGACAUCGAUACGAAACACAGAAAGCAUCUACAAGAAGCCAAGAGCAUCGCAAUGUUUGUUGUUGGCAACAUUUAAACCUGAAAUGAACCCUACAGCUCUUGAAACUAAACCAUACGAGUUACCAACAGGGCCUAAAACAUUUAAUUCUUCCGAGGAAUGUGAAAGGAGUAAUGGUUCAUCUCCAAGAACUUGUCUUUCUGAACAUAACCUUCAACCUUCAGCCGGUUUUGAAAACACAGAGAGUGGCAGAUUCAGCCACGGAGAGACCCAGGUGAUGUGCUCAACACGCCCCCGGCCUAAGCCUAGGAAAAAAUUCAAUAGAAAAGCACCAGGAACAUUACCUGUGGAAUGUCUGCGAAGCAACCCUUUGUGUGAUGAAGCAGGAGUUGAACACUGCGCACGCGCCAAAGUAUCAGAUCAAAUAGAUAUUGACGGCUCCACUCCUCAAACUUUCCGCGAAAAAACGUCCUAUCAAAAUGCAAGCUUGCCAAAAGCCCUUUGCAAGAACGCAGCAUAUCAAAAUUCAUCUCAGCUGCUAACAGCAGUUCAGGUGGAGUCACCAUAUACCCUCGUGUUCAGCAACAAAAAAUGGGAAGUUCCAAGUGAUCAUUUGUCACUGAUUGAGCGAAUUGGCGGUGGCACAUUUGGUGAAGUGUGGAAGGGUAGAGGACUGGAUGUUUGUGGUACUCAAGGCUGGUCUUUUGUCGCUGUUAAAAUGCUGAAGGAAAACUUCUCAAAGUCAGACCUGACGGAUUUGUUGUCUGAGCUGGACUUGCUGAAGAAACUGAAACCUCAUCCUAACGUGAUUCAACUUUUGGGCUGUUUAACCAAGGAUGUUAUUCGAUGUGAAGGAAGGCGCACGUUCAAACCACCCUUCGUUAUUCUGGAGUUUGUCCCUCACGGAGAUCUUCUUGGGUUUUUGAAAAGAAGUAGAGGGGAGACAGAUGAUUAUUAUGAUUUGAAAAGGAAAGAAAUUCCAAGAAAAAUAUCCAUACAACAACUUUAUAAAUUCACGUCUGAUAUCGCGCGAGGAAUGGAAUUCAUUUCAGCUCAUCAGCUCAUUCACCGAGACUUAGCAGCGAGAAACGUUUUAGUUGGAGAGGGUCUACGCUGUAAAAUUACUGAUUUUGGAAUGGCGAGAGACCUGGGAAGAGGUGAAAUAUAUGUCAGGAGGUCUAAUGGAGUUGUGCCGGUAAAGUGGAUGGCAGUCGAGUCCUUGACAAAACAAGUUUUUACCAUAAAAAGUGACGUGUGGAAACCCUUAUGAAGGAAUGUCGGGAGAAGAAGUCUUCCAGUACGUUGCAAAUGGUCACAGGUUACGAAGGACCUCAAAAGUCAGCCUAGAAUUAUAUGACCUGAUGUUGCAAUGUUGGCAGGAGGACCCUUUCAGGCGUCCAACAUUUGGCGCGAUCGCAUCUUGGACCGAAACUCUUGCUUAAUACCCUGAAAG